GUUGAAACACCAGUUCCCUUAUGAUCAUGGGGAUUAAGCAAUGUUGAGCCUGGUCAGUACCUAGAUGAGUGACCGCUUGGCAAUACCAAGUGCUGUAAG